rnacentral:rRNA from 1 species
GAUGAACGCUGGCGGCGUGCCUAAUACAUGCAAGUCGAGCGAACAGACGAGGAGCUUGCUCCUCUGACGUUAGCGGCGGACGGGUGAGUAACACGUGGAUAACCUACCUAUAAGACUGGGAUAACUUCGGGAAACCGGAGCUAAUACCGGAUAAUAUAUUGAACCGCAUGGUUCAAUAGUGAAAGACGGUUUUGCUGUCACUUAUAGAUGGAUCCGCGCCGCAUUAGCUAGUUGGUAAGGUAACGGCUUACCAAGGCAACGAUGCGUAGCCGACCUGAGAGGGUGAUCGGCCACACUGGAACUGAGACACGGUCCAGACUCCGACGGGAGGCAGCAGUAGGGAAUCUUCCGCAAUGGGCGAAAGCUUGACGGAGCAACGCCGCGUGAGUGAUGAAGUUCUUCGGAUCGUAAAACUCUGUUAUUAGGGAAGAACAAAUGUGUAAGUAACUAUGCACGUCUUGACGGUACCUAAUCAGAAAGCCACGGCUAACUACGUG